rnacentral:rRNA from 1 species
GACGUCCUGCCGGUGGCGGUCCGGGCUUUCGGGUAUGUGUAGGUUCUACCGAAGCAUCCCGAUAGUUCCGGCCGCCGAUCCAAUCCCGCCGCGGUGCUCUUAACUGAGUGUCGAGGUGGGCCGGCACGUUUACUUUGAACAAAUUAGAGUGCUUAAAGCAGGCUGAUUUCCGCCUGAAUACUGUGUGCAUGGAAUAAUGGAAUAGGACUUCGGUUCUAUUUUGUUGGUUUUAAGAAUCCGAAGUAAUGAUUAAUAGGGACAGGCGGGGGCAUUCGUAUUGCGACGUUAGAGGUGAAAUUCUUGGAUCGUCGCAAGACGUACCUAAGCGAAAGCAUUUGCCAAGUAUGUCCUCGUUAAUCAAGAACGAAAGUUAGAGGUUCGAAGGCGAUCAGAUACCGCCCUAGUUCUAACCAUAAACGAUGCCAGCCAGCGAUCCGCCAAAGUUCCUCCGAUGACUUGGCGGGCAGCUUCCGGGAAACCAAAGCUUUUGGGUUCCGGGGGAAGUAUGGUUGCAAAGCUGAAACUUAAAGGAAUUGACGGAAGGGCACCACCAGGAGUGGAGCCUGCGGCUUAAUUUGACUCAACACGGGAAACCUCACCAGGCCCGGACACCGGAAGGAUUGACAGAUUGAUAGCUCUUUCUUGAUUCGGUGGGUGGUGG